rnacentral:rRNA from 1 species
GAUUGCAGGCUGCAACUCGCCUGCAUGAAGUCGGAAUUGCUAGUAAUCGUGGAUCAGCAUGCCACGGUGAAUACGUUCCCGGGCCUUGUACACACCGCCCGUCACACCAUGGGAGUCGGUAACACCCGAAGUCCGUAGCCUAACCGCAAGGGGGGCGCGGCCGAAGGUGGGUUCGAUAAUUGGGGUGAAGUCGUAACAAGGUAUC